CUUGUCACCUUAUCCUGGAUGAGUGUACAUUUUGAUAACUGCAGACUUAACAAUUAUGUUUUUUAUCUUAUUGAAGAAAAGUCUGCAAUGUGACAACUGUGGACUUAACAAAUCUAUUUACAUGUAUAUCAAACAUUGCAUCAGACAAAUAAAACUAACAUUAAACUUGUGCAAUAGUUAUCAAAGGUACCAGGAUUAUAAUUAAGUACGCCAGACGCGAGUUUCAUCUACACAAGACUCAUCAGUGAUGC
rnacentral:lncRNA from 1 species